rnacentral:rRNA from 1 species
GACGUAGGGAGCGAGCGUUGUCCGGAUUUAUUGGGCGUAAAGAGCUCGUAGGCGGCUUGUUGCGUCGACUGUGAAAACCCGCGGCUUAACUGCGGGCUUGCAGUUGAUACGGGCAGGCUAGAGUUCGGUAGGGGAGACUGGAAUUCCUGGUGUAGCGGUGAAAUGCGCAGAUAUCAGGAGGAACACCGGUGGCGAAGGCGGGUCUCUGGGCCGAUACUGACGCUGAGGAGCGAAAGCGUGGGGAGCGAACAGG